rnacentral:rRNA from 1 species
CCUGGUUGAUCCUGCCAGUAGACAUGCUUUGUCUCAAAGAUUAAGCCAGCAUGUCUAAGUACACACGGCCGGUACAGUGAAACUGCCGAAUGGGGCUCAUUUAAAAUCCAGUUAUUUCCUUGAUCGCGCUCCCACCCGUACUUGGAUAACUGUGGCAAUUCUAGAGCUAAUACAUGCCGACGAGCGCUGACCCUCCCAGGGGGAUGCGUGUUAUCAGACCCAAAACCCAUCCGGGGUGCCUCGUGCGCCCCGGCCGCUUUGGUGACUCUAGUAACUCGGGCCGAUCGCACGCCCUUCCGUGGCGGUGACGUCUCAUUCGAAUGUCUGCCCUAUCCAACUUUCUCGAUGGUACUUUCUGCGCCUACCAUUGGUGACCACGGGUAAACGGGGAAUCAGGGUUCGAUUCCGGAAGAGGGAGCCUGAAAACGGCUACCACAUCCAAGGGGAAGGCAGCAGGCGCGCAAAUUAACCCACUCCCAACACGGGGAGGUAGUGACGAAAAAUAACGAUACGGGACUCAUCCGAGGCCCCGUAAUCGGAAUGAGUACACUUUAAAUCCUUUCGGGGAGGUAGUGACGGAAAAAUAACAUACAGGACUCUUUCGAGGCCCUGUAAUUGGAAUGAGUACACUUUAAAUCCUUUAACGAGGGAUCCAUUGGAGGGCAAGUCUGGUGCCAGCAGCCGCCGCAAUUCCAGCUCCAAUAGCGUAUAUUAAAGUUGAUGCAUUUAAAAGGGUUGGAUCUUGGGAUCGAGCUGGCGGUCCUCUGCAGUUAAAAAGCUCGUAGUUGGAUCUUGGGAUCGAGCUGGCGGUCGCCGCGAGGCGAGCUACCGCCUGUCCCAGCCCCUGCCUCUCCGCCGGCCCCUUCGAUGCUCUUAGCUGAGAGUGUCCCGCGGGGUCCGAAGCGUUUACUUUUAAAAAUUAGAAGUGUUCAAGGCAGGCCGCAGCACGCCUGAAUACCGCAGCUAGGAAUAAUGGUAGGACUCCGGUUCUAUUUUGUGGUUUUCGGAACCGGGGCCAUGAUUAAGAGGGGACGGCCGGGGGCAUUCGUAUUGUGCCGCCAAGAGGUGAAAUUCUUGGACCGGCGCAAGACGGACCGAAAGCGAAAGCAUUUGCCAAGAAUGUUUUCAUUAAUCAAGAACGGAAGGUCGGAGGGUUCGAAGACGAUCAGAUACCGUCGUAGUUCCGACCAUAAACGAGGCCAACUAGCGAUCCGGCGGCGUAGCGAUCCGGCGGCGUUAUUCCCAUGACCGCCGGGCAGCCUCCCGGGAAACAAAGUCUUUGGGUUCCGGGGGGAGUAUGGUGGCGAAGCUGAAACUAAAGGAAUUGACCGGAAGGGCAUCACCUUAAAGGAAUUGACGGAAGGGCACCACCAGGAGUGGAGCCUGCGGCUUAAUUUGACCCAACACGGGAAACCUCACCCGGCCCGCCACGGAAAGGAUUGACAGAUUAGCUCUUUCUUCGAUUCUGUGGGUGGUGGUGCAUGGCUCGAUUCUGUGGGUGGUGGUGCAUGGCCGUCUUAGUUGGUGGGAAACUUACCAGGUCCGGACAUAGUGAGGAUUGACAGAUUGAGAGCUCUUUCUUGAUUCUAUGGUUGGUGGUGCAUGGCCGUUCUUAGUUGGUGGAGCGAUUUGUCUGGGUUAAUUCCGAUAAACGAACGAGACUCCCGGCAUGCCUAACUAGUUACGGGCCCCGAGCGGCCGCGUCCAACUCUUCCUUAGAGGGACAAGUGGCGUUCAGCCCACGAGAUUGAGAAAAACAGUCUGUGAUGCCCUUAGAUGUCCGGGGCUGCACGCGCGCCACACUGAGCGGAUCAGCGUUUGUUUUCCCUUCGCCGACAGGGCGCGGGUACCCCGCGAACCCCACUCGUGAUUGGGACUGGGGAUUGAAACUAUUUCCCAUCAACGAGGAAUUCCCAGUAAGCGCGAGGAAUCAGCGUGUCCUCCCUGACCGAAAGGCCCGGGUAACCCGCUGAACCUCCUUCGUGCUAGGGAUUGGGGCUUGCAAUUAUUCCCCAUGAACGAGGAAUUCCCAGUAAGCGCGGGUCAUAAGCUCGCGUUGAUUAAGUCCCUGCCCUUUGUACACACCGCCCGUCGCUACUACCGAUUGGAUGGCUUAGUGAGCCUUUGGGAU